ensembl:lncRNA
AGACAAAUGAACAGACAACAAGAAAAGCACCAAAUAAACGCCCAUCCCGCUAGACAGCUUGUGUUGUCUGUAUUGGCAACAAGGCAGAAUUACCAACCCCCCAUUUUCAGAGCCGUGUGUAGCCUGAUUUGCAUAAACAUGAGUAAUUUAUGAAUAAUAAAUGCCCCUGUAUUCAGCCCCAUCCAUUAAUUUGCAUAUCACCAUGCCACUACAGUUAUUUUUUUCCCGUGUGCUGUGCUAUCAUGAAGCACUAAGAAGCUGCAUUAAAACAGAAUCAAAAGAAGUGCUGGGAAAGGGCGGAGCGCGGAGGCCUCGCCGGGUCUUUCACCUCCAGCCACCGCCUCCGACUCUACCCUCACGGGCGCGAGGCUGCUGGGCAUGCUGGGAGUUGGACGGCGCCUGGCAACAGUCUCCAGCGGCAACGAGGAGGCCGCCAUGGCGGAGCGGCCGAGCAAACACUCGCUGGAUAUAGCUGACCUAUAGCUAAAUAAGAAGAGAGUUAGGGCCUGUCUGCGGGAAUACAAUGGCCGAGAGUUUGGGGUCACGGCCAAGGGCAGAAUGUAGUGAGUGAGGGAGAGUCAGCCAGCUUAGCUAGAGAGUCUCCCUGCCUCUUUAUUUAAUACUUAUUUAUCAGAGAAUAUAAGAAAUUCUCUGUAUGAGAAUUGCCAGCUAACAGCUAGCUGUUUGUAGGCUAUUUAAUAGUCUUUCUUUAUAGCUCCAGUUGUUCUAUAUAUCUGGAUUAAUAUUACUACAAUUAUAGAUUAGGUGGCUAAUUAACUAACUAACUAGCAUUUAAUAAUAUAUGGUUACAAAUAGCAGCAAAAUGUCCCAUCAAAUAUUACCAAACGUUGGUGUGUGUGUUUACGUUUGUUAAUGUUGAUAAUAGGGGAAAAAAUGCAUUUAAACAGUCUUUAUUUAAUCAUGGCCAAAGGCAAAUGUUAAAAUUUGCAAAAAAAUCAUUGUCGUAGGCUAUUUUAUUGAGGACAUUACGUUUUUUAAUGGUUAUGAUGAAAAACAAUGUUUUUUUGCAGUCUUUAUUUUAUCAGAACAUGAGAAUUCCCUGUAUAAGAAUUGUGGGUUAGCUAUUUGGUCUGUAUCCAGAUUAGUAUUACUAAAAAUAUAUAUUGGAUUCAUUUAUUUAUGGUUACAAAUAGCAAAAUACACCAUCAAAUAUUAGUAAAUGGUAAUAUAUAUCAUAGAAUAUAAGAUUUCUCUGUAUGGGAAAUGUGGGCUAGCUGUUAAUGAGUGAGUUAGUCAGCUAGGGUCAAGUCUGUCUGUCUAGUCAGCUAGUCUGUCUUUUUCCUAAUUUACUAUUUAUUGCCAGAAAAUUUCCUUUAUGCGUACUGUGGGCAGUUGGUGGGUUCUUCAGUGUCAGAGUUAGCUACAGCUAUGAACCUAGCUAUGGCUACAUAAAUUCCCCAUUCUGAAAUUGUCCCUACAUUAAUGUAUAGAAAGAUUGAACUCGUCAGUCAGCUCGUUAACUUGUUACAACCUUUAUACCAGUUAAAUCAGUAACUUUCUGGGUUAUUUGGCUAAUCAUUUCAUUUUUGCUGGGCAUUGCAGUUCAAGAGCUAAUUUCUAAAAAUGGACCUGCAGUAUUUUGAACCAGUAAACAUCUUUAGGGUUGUUGGAUCACGUUUGUUGUCGCUAAUCAAAAUGUGCAGAGAUAGCUACUAAUUAAAAACAAUAGCAGCUUUAUAGGAGAAGAAAAACUAUUUUUGACCUUCAAUGGAAGUCAAAAUAAACAGAUUUUUCUGUGCUUACUAACGGAACA